AUGAACGCUGGCGGCGUGCCUAAUACAUGCCAGUCGCGCGAACAGACGAGGAGCUUGCUCCUCUGACGUUAGCGGCGGACGGGUGAGUAACACGUGGAUAACCUACCUAUAAGACUGGGAUAACUUCGGGAAACCGGAGCUAAUACCGGAUAAUAUAUUGAACCGCAUGGUUUAAUAGUGAAAGACGGUUUUGCUGUCACUUAUAGAUGGAUCCGCGCCGCAUUAGCUAGUUGGUAAGGUAACGGCUUACCAAGGCAACGAUGCGUAGCCGACCUGAGAGGGUGAUCGGCCACACUGGAACUGAGACACGGUCCAGACUCCUACGGGAGGCAGCAGUAGGGAAUCUUCCGCAAUGGGCGAAAGCCUGACGGAGCAACGCCGCGUGAGUGAUGAAGGUCUUCGGAUCGUAAAACUCUGUUAUUAGGGAAGAACAAAUGUGUAAGUAACUAUGCACGUCUUGACGGUACCUAAUCAGAAAGCCACGGCUAACUACGUG
rnacentral:rRNA from 1 species